AUUGAACGCUGGCGGCAGGCCUAACACAUGCAAGUCGAGCGGAUGAAGGGAGCUUGCUCCUGGAUUCAGCGGCGGACGGGUGAGUAAUGCCUAGGAAUCUGCCUGGUAGUGGGGGAUAACGUCCGGAAACGGGCGCUUAUACCGCAUACGUCCUGAGGGUGAACGUGGGGGAUCUUCGGACCUCACGCUAUCAGAUGAGCCUAGGCCGGAUUAGCUAGUUGGUGGGGUAAAGGCUUACCAAGGCGACGAUCCGUAACUGGUCUGAGAGGAUGAUCAGUCACACUGGAACUGAGACACGGUCCAGACUCCUACGGGAGGCAGCAGUGGGGAAUAUUGGACAAUGGGCGAAAGCCUGAUCCAGCCAUGCCGCGUGUGUGAAGAAGGUCUUCGGAUUGUAAAGCACUUUAAGUUGGGAGGAAGGGAAGUAAGUGAAUACCUGGCUGUUUUGACGUUACCAACAGAAUAAGCACCGGCUAACUUCGUG
rnacentral:rRNA from 1 species